rnacentral:lncRNA from 1 species
GGCUUUUCGAAAUUGUACAUGCAGUGUGCCUUCCUUUGUAUGAACUUCUGGAAUUCAUUGUAAACCAUCUGGAAGUUAAACGGCUCUCCUUCAUAAACAUCAUUUAAGUGUUUCAUAGCUAUAAUUAGGCAGAUUUCCAGGACAGACAAACCAUGGACAAUAUUUGCUUUUGAGUCCAUCCUGUACUGCUUGCUUGCCUCCUGAAGAUCUGAUGCGGUGAUAAGAGGGUGACG